CCUGGCGGGGAUAGCGCGGUGGUCCCACCUGACCCCAUGCCGAACUCAGAAGUGAAACGCCGUAGCGCCGAUGGUAGUGUGGGGUUUCCCCAUGCGAGAGUAGGGAACUGCCAGGC
rnacentral:rRNA from 1 species